UAAAACGUGCCGGGCAAUUUCGCGGCCAGUUGAUUCGCUGACGUUGUACAGUGUGCACUUAACACCGCUCGAUUGUUUCCGCUGGAGAGUGUUAAAGAAUAUCGUGCACCAAGAGAGACCGAUUACAGAGAUGCACACGAGGCAAGGGAUCAUAGCAAAGUGAGCUGGAACGAAUCCAGAAACGAUUCCAUCGAAACGAAUGGUCAUCACUUUGAGCAUCUUUGAUAAUGUCACGAGUGUUGCGUUACCACCCUUUACGACCUUGAAUGACCUUCCGUUGGACAGUAAUAAUAUCCAUUAUUCGAGAGAGAUCAAAAAGACUGGGGAUGAAAGGAUGCAAUUUUUCCUUUUGGCGUAUCGUUCAUUGGAGCACGACGCUAUCAAGCAACCUGGCUGCGAUGAUGCUUUAUGGAAGAGAAUUGAGACCAAUUGAUAGUGACAGAGGUUUUCUACCGAACUUGGAAAAGCGUGGAUGGUGCUACGAACUCUCUAAGGUUGCAGAUAUACGACAUAAGGGAUCAAUCGUCAACUCAAUCAAACGUCAACUGGGAUCUGAAUUAUUAAUAGUAAACCCUGAAGAGGGGGGAAGGAUGAUAUUUCUCCAUAGUUACUUGUUUACUAGGUGCACGUAGAGUGAACCAGAACCUGCAUCGGCAAAUGAAGGGUUGACAGCUCCGGGCUACUGGAACAAAAUGUCUGACCCCUCGUGGAACACAAAGGGUUAAGGUAGUUCAGUUAAACCGUUUAGCUAAGUAUGAAGGCCGUACAUUUCCUCAGCGAGAAUGAGGGCACUAGAGAAGAAACAAGUGCGCAAGGUCCAGGUUGAUUCUCCUCUUGUGGGCUAUGUGUUCUCCCCAUUGUGCCCUCCAGCAUUGGAAAAAGUCGGAUUCCUCGGAAAUGCUUCUCGGUGUUUCUUGUUUUGUUUCUUCUCGCCCUAUGAAAGACUGACUUCGUGCAACGGACUUCAGAGAUGAGUCUCAAUUGUGUCCGACCAUCGACUACCCAAGAGGAUUUCCAUUGCUGAAGGGGGAAAUGGGUCAACCAUGAAGAUUUCUGAAGCCAGAAGGUUCGAGAGACGAGAGGAAAUGGUAAGAAAAGUGAAGGAAUGAUGAAAAAAGUGGAUGAAU